GCUCGGAUGGUGGAAUAGGUAGACACGCCGGACUUAAAAUCCUGUGGGCAGUAAUGCCCGUACCGGUUCGACCCCGGUUCCGAGUA
rnacentral:tRNA from 1 species